UACGGGGGGGGGCAAGCGUUGUUCGGAAUUACUGGGCGUAAAGGGCUCGUAGGCGGCCAACUAAGUCGGAUGUGAAAUCCCCAAGCUUAACUUGGGAACUGCAUCCGAUACUGGAUGGCUUGAAUCCGGGAGAGGGAUGCAGAAUUCCAGGUGUAGCGGUGAAAUGCGUAGAUAUCUGGAGGAAUCACCGGUGGCGAAGGCGGCAUCCUGGACCGGCAUUGACGCUGA
rnacentral:rRNA from 1 species